GUGUCAGCAGCCGCGGUAAUACGAAGGGUGCAAGCGUUACUCGGAAUUACUGGGCGUAAAGCGUGCGUAGGCGGUUUGUUAAGUCCGCUGUGAAAGCCCUGGGCUCAACCUGGGAAUUGCAGUGGAUACUGGCAAGCUAGAGUGCGGUAGAGGAUGGUGGAAUUCCCGGUGUAGCGGUGAAAUGCGUAGAGAUCGGGAGGAACACCCGUGGCGAAGGCGGCCAUCUGGACCAGCACUGACGCUGAGGCACGAAAGCGUGGGGAGCAAACAGGAUUAGAUACCCUGGUAGUCCACGCCCUAAACGAUGCGAACUGGACGUUGGGUGGACUUAGCCACUCAGUGUCGAAGCUAACGCGUUAAGUUCGCCGCCUGGGGAGUACGGUCGCAAGACUGAA
rnacentral:rRNA from 1 species